UUUCCUUUUGUUAUCCUUACCACUUUACCAGCUGGCAGAGAGCCUUCCUUUUCCGAUUCUCUAUUUCCUUUCCUCAUUCCCAAUCUCCGAUCCAUCCCUAAAAACAACUGACGAGAGAUCCAUGAUGAUGAUGAUGAAGAUGCCUUGGACGAGGAAGAGCAGGAGCUUCCAUCUUCAGCUACAAGGGGCAAUUGGUACCAUUCAAUCUCCAUUCCUAUUCUUAUUUACCAAUUAUUGCCAUUCUUCUACUUCCACACUUGAAGAUGCACGCUUCUUGACAAAUAACUUCAAAUCUGCUUCUUUUACCCACCUUGAUGAUGCCAUUGCUUCCUUCAAUCAUGUAAUUCAUAUGCAUCCUCUUCCUUCUAGGGCUCAAUUUAGUAGAUUCUUAUCUGCCCUUGUGAAAAUGAAACAAUAUCACACUGUCCUUUCCAUGUCCAAAACAAUUGAAUUGCUAGGAAUCUCUCACGAUGUUUAUUCUCUUAGCAUCUUAAUUAAUUGCUUCUGCCACUUACACCUUGUGGAUUUUGGCUUCUCUGUUUUCGGGAAGAUGUUCAAAUUCGGAUUGGAGCCUACCACUGUGACAUUUACUACCUUAAUUAAUGGGCUUUGUAUGGAGAGUAAAAUGGAUAAAGCAGUGGAAUUUUUCGAUGAUAUGGUUGCACGUGGUAAUCAACCUGAUGUUCGUACUUUCAAUGUGAUAGUAAACGGAUUGUGUAAAUUUGGGAAAACAAACGUGGCUAUUGGGCUACUAAAGGGAAUGGCUGAUAGAGGUUGUGCGCCAAAUGUUGUGACAUACAAUGCAAUCAUUGACGCACUUUGCAAGGAUGUGCUAGUUGGUGAGGCUUUAGAGCUCUUCUCUCAAAUGAGGAAUAAGGGCAUUUCACCUGAUGUCAUCACUUACACUGGUUUAAUUCACAGUGUUUGCAAAUUAGGCCAAAAGAACCAAGCUUUGGCCUUGAUGAAUGAAAUGGUGGAGCAGAACAUAUUACCAAAUGUUUAUACCUUCAGUGUAUUGAUUGACGCUCUUUGUAAGGAUGGAAUGGUUUCAGAGGCUCAAAAUACAUUCAAUGUAAUGAUUCAAAGAGGUGUAGAGCCUGAUGUGGUCACCUACAAUUCCUUAAUUGAUGGUCUUUGCAUUUCAGACCAUUUCAAGGAAGCUUUGACCUUGUUGAAAGAAAUGGUGGGGAGGAACAUAUCCCCUGAUGUUUUUACCUUCAAUAUAUUGAUCGACACUCUUUGUAAGAAAGGACUGGUUUCAAAUGCAGAGAAUAUAAUCAAAAUAAUGAUUCAAAGAGGUGUGGAACCUAACGUUGUCACUUAUAGUUCAUUGAUGGAUGGAUAUUGUCUGUACAAUCAAAUUGAUAAGGCUAGAAAGGUAUUUGAUCUGAUGGCGACCAAUGAAAUAGCUGACAUUUUUAGCUACACCAUUUUGAUCAAUGGAUAUUGUAAGUGCAAAAUGAUAGAUGAUGCGAAGGAACUUUUUGAUGAAAUGUCUCAUAAAGGUUUAGUUCCUAAUGUUGUUACUUAUUCUACUCUUAUAGAGGGUAUGUUUCAAGCAGGGAGGCCCCAAACUGCACAGGAGCUCUUUAAGAAUAUGUGCUGUCAUGGUCACCAGCCAGAUAUAGUAACCUUCUCAAUUAUGAUUAAUGGCUUGUGUAGACAGGGGAAUCUGGAUGAAGCACUCACCCUAUUGAAAGAAAUGGAGGAAAGUCAGUUGAAGCCUGAUGUUGUGACCUAUUGCAUUCUGAUCAAUGGUAUGUGCAAAGCUGGCAAGAUUAAUGAUGCCAAGGAACUGGUUUCUAGUCUUUAUGAGAAUGGUUUACAACCUAAUGUUCAUAUAUAUAGUGCAAUUAUGAAAGGACUCUGCCGAGAAGGAUUAAUAGACGAAGCAUAUAAGAUUUUUAGAGACAUGGAAAAGGGAGGAUGUUUACCGAAUAAUUUUUCUUAUAAUAUCAUCAUUCAAGGAUUUCUCAGGCAUGAGGAUUUACCAAAAGCAUCAGAACUAAUCAACGAAAUGGUUGAUAAGGGGUUCUCUGCUGAUGAUGCUACCACAGAAUUGGUAGUACAUUUGUCGCAGAAUAAUGAUCUCAUUCUAAGCAAACUACGAAAUCGUUCUGAGGCUUCUAAAGCUGUGCAAUGAGGGAUCAGCAAACUAAAGAUAAAUCUUGACCAUUCAAUGGUGUCUUGGAGAGAAACUUGGUAAUUACCUUCUUCAAAUGUAGUAGAUAUGUAAUUUAACUAACUUCAAAUUUCAUUUUUAAUUUCAAUCAGCUGUGAUUCUCUACCACAAAACGAAAAUUUCUAACACUGUAAAUUACCUGCUGUGGAAACCAUGAUAUGUGUGUGCCUUUCGCUUGAACUCAGACAUGGACUAGAUCUCUUUGAAUAUAAGAUUGUUGAUGAAUGGAGGUCAUAGAUUUCUAAUGAUCAAGUUGCUGGUACACCCACCAUCUUCCUUACAAUUUUUUUUUGGGCUGCUACUACAGCCUUAACUUGAUAGCUUAGUCCUAAAAAUGAGUUGAGAACUAAAACUAAUUGAUUCCAUGCUAUAAUGCUUAAGAAUCUUUAUCUAUUUUACUUUUGUGCUCAAUGACCUUUUAAAAUGCUAUCAUUUUUCAGUAAACAUGCUGCAUUAGGACAAUAACUUGGAGAUUUUAUCAUAUAUUUUGAUUUUUACUAGUAAGAAUGCAGGUGUUAAAUCAGUGAACUAGCAGGUGUUAACACCUGUUUUCUGUAUCAUUUUACCAAAGCUACUCGUGCCUGUUUCCGUCCAUUAGAAUUUAACACCUACUAGUUUAUCAUAUACUUGCAUUACUUUUAAUAAGUUUAUGCUCCCAAAAUGAUUUCUAUUUAUUGCUAGUUUAUUACUUGUAGUAAGUUUAUGCUCAAAAUAAUUUCUAUCUAUUGCUCCUUGAGUUAAUACUUAUAACUUGAACUAGAGUUAAUACUUACUCCUUGAGUGCAAGUUUUAACACCUACUUGUUGAGUUUAAGUAUUAAUUUGAGUUUUUGCAACAGUUACAUCUGAGCUUGAGCAUGGUGCAGUAUCUCUUCCACCAGUCCACCGGGUCUUUUCCCGCAUGCCUGAGAUGAAGAUGGAUUAGAUGAACAAAUCGAGGAUUUUUGUUGAUUACAUGUUGUACACAUUUUGGGUUACUAUUUGUUUUGGCAUUUACUACAAAAAUAUGCUUUUAAUUAUACAUUUUUGUGGUUGUACUAGAUUAUUUAUGUUCAAUUUUAAGUUCAAAAGACUUUUCUUUUUAUUAUAAUUGAAUACAUUAGAUUUGUGGUUGAUUUGUGUUAUAUUAUGCAUUUAAUAGUAUCUACUAGUAUUAAAAAAGAGCUUUGUCAGAAGCUUAUUAGUAUAAUAACUAGUAGAAUUGACUCAUGGUCUGUGAAAUAAUUAUCCUAUGCUGGUAGGGUACAUGGUGAGGAAUAAGUUGAAAAGCCUCAGUUUUUGGGGAUCUCUAAACCUAGUAAUGCUAGUUGAUCUUGAAAGAAUCUGGUGAAAAUUAGAGAUUGUUUUAGAAAGCAUUAUGCAUGUAAGUUGGGAAGAGGGGUUUUUCAUUUUGGUAUGACCCUUGCAUGGGUGGGAAAAGUCUUGUUGAGAGGUCUCUGAGUUGAAUAUGGGAUAUUCUGACAUCAUAGACAUGCUAAGGUGAGGGAGGUUUGGAUGGUAUGUGGAGGCUUCCUAAUCCAUUGGAUUCCACUAUGGAAGGAGCCUGGGAAGAGGUUCGAAAACAUUAUGUAAGCAAUGAAUGGGCAGAUAUUAAAUGGAAACUCAUAGACUUACACUGUUAAUAGUGCUUGGAAAGUCCUAAGAAGGAAGGGUGGAGAGGUUAAUUGGUGGAAGGUGACGUGGGGUAAGCGUAUUCCCAGGCACAGUUUUAUAACCUGGUUAGCUAUCCAUAAUAGACUUGUUGUCCAAUCGAGGCUACUUAGAUGGGAAAUGGUAAAUAAUGCAUAGUGUUGCAUUUGAUUACUUAAUAUUAAUCGGUGAAAGGGACACUUCUAAAGAUUAGUGUGUAAGGUCUAUAUGAUUAAUUUUCAAUGAUAUGGUUGCACGUGGUUAUCAACCUGAUGUUUAUACAUACAAUAUGAUAAUAAACGGAAUGUGUAAAUUUGGGAAAACAAACGUGGCUAUUGGGCUGCUAAAGGGAAUGGCUGAUAGAGGUUGUGAGCCAGAUGUUGUGACAUACGGAGCAAUCAUUGACGCCCUUUGCAAGGAUGAGCUAGUUGGUGAGGCUUUAGAGCUCUUCUCUCAAAUGAGGAAUAAGGACAUUUCACCUAAUGUCAUCACUUACACUAGUUUAAUUCAUGGUGGUUGCAAAUUAGGCCAAAAGAACCAAGCUUUGGCCUUGAUGAAUGAAAUGGUGGAGCAGAACAUAUCACCUAAUGUUUAUACCUUCAAUGUAUUGAUUGAUGCCCUUUGUAAGGAUGGAAUGGUUUCAGAGGCACAAAAUACAUUCAAUGUAAUGAUUCAAAGAGGUGUAGAGCCUGAUGUGGUCACCUACAAUUCCUUAAUUGAUGGUCUUUGCAUUUCAGACCAAUUCAAGGAAGCUUUGGGCUUGUUGAAAGAAAUGGUGGGGAGGAACAUAUCCCCUAAUGUUUUUACCUUCAAUAUAUUGAUCGACACUCUUUGUAAGAAAAGACUGGUUUCAAAUGCAGAGAAUAUAAUCAAAAUAAUGAUUCAAAGAGGUGUGGAACCUACCGUUGUCACUUAUAGUUCAUUGAUGGAUGGAUAUUGUCUAGGCAGUCAAAUUGAUAAGGCUAGAAAGCUAUUUGAUCUGAUGGUGACCAAUGAAAUAGCUGACACUUUUAGCUACAACAUUUUGAUCAAUGGAUAUUGUAAGUGCAAAAUGAUAGAUGAUGCAAAGCAGAUUUUUGAUGAAAUGUCUCAUAAAGGUUUAGUUCCUGAUGCUGUUACUUAUCAUACUCUUAUAAAGGCUAUGUUUCAAGCAGGGAGGCCCCAAACUGCAAAAGAGCUCUUUAAGGAUAUGUGCUCUCAUGGUCAACAGCCAACUAUAGUAACCUUCUCAAUUAUGAUUGAUGGCUUGUGUAGACAGGGGAAUCUGGAUGAAGCACUCACCCUAUUGAAAGGAAUGGAGGAAAGUCAGUUGAAGCCUGAUCUUGUGACCUAUUGCAUCCUGAUCAAUGGUAUGUGCAAAGCUGGCUAGAUUAAUGAUGCCAAGGAACUGUUUUCUAGUCUUUUUGAAAAUGGUUUAUGACCUAAUGUUCAUAUAUAUAGUGCAAUUAUGAAAGGAUGCUGCCGAGACGGAUUAAUAGACGAAGCAUAUAAGAUUUUUAGAGACAUGGAAUAGGGAGGAUGUUUACCGAAUAAUUGUUGUUAUAAUAUCAUCAUUCAAGGGUUUCUCAGGCAUGAGGAUUUACCAAAAGCAUCAGAACUAAUCAACGAAAUGGUUGAUAAGGGUUUCUCUGCUGAUGAUGCUACCACAGAAUUGGUAGUACAUUUAUCGCGGAAUAAUAAUCUCAUUCUGAGGUUUUUAAAGGUGCGCAAUGAGGGAUCAGCAAACUAAAGUUGUUAUAUCUUGACCAUUCAAGUGUGUCUUGGAGCGCAACUUGGUAAUUACCUUCUUCACAUGUAGUAGAUAUGUAACUUAACUAACUUCUUCAAAUUUCAUUUUUAAUUUCAAUCAGCUAUGAUUCUCUUCCACAAAAUAAAAAUUUUUAACACUGUAAAUUACCUGCAGUGGGAACCAUGAUAUGUGUGUGCCUUUCGCUUGAAUUCAGACAUGGACUUGAUCUCUUUGAUAUAAGAUUGUUGAUGAAUGGAGGUCAUGGAUUUCUAAUAAUCAAGUUGCUGGUAAACCCACCAUCUCCUUUACAGAUUUUUUUUGGCUGCUACUAUAGCCUUAACUCGAGAGCUCAAUCCUAAAAUUGAGGUUAGAACUAAAACUAAUUGGUUCCAUACUACAAUGCUUAAGAAUCUUUAUCUAUUUUUAUUUUUGUGCUCAAUGACCUUUUAAAAUGCUAUCAUUUCUCUUGUAGGUACUUGCAAGGAUAUGAUUACAACUUCACUUUCUAACAAUAAAGGUAUAAGCAAUUUUUUUUUUGCUUAAUUAUUAUAUUUUUAAUAAUAAUGAAAAUAAUGAUUAUAAACAAGUGGGGCUAUAAUUGAGAAUUGAUUUAACAAUUAGACUACACUAUAAAUGCAGGGUGCAGGAUAUACUGUCCUAGAGUACAAGGGAGGAGAAUCACUAGACUUCUACAGCUGUUAGUUGGAUGAAAUGGCACUAAAAUUAUACACAACAGAAAAUGUUAUGGGAAUUGAGGGAAAAGCAAACAUCCUCUUUGUGGUUUUUUUUUUUUUUCUAGUCAUCAAGUUGAGUAUAUAUAUAUAUAUAUAUCCUUAAUUUCUUUUAUUUUCCUUCAAUUCAAAUUAGUGAAAUCAUUGCAUUAGCAUCUAAUAAUAUGAAGUUCACAAUCUUUUCCAAUGAAAUUGUGAAAUCAUUGCAUUAGCAUCUAACAAUAUGAAGUUCACAAUCUUUUCCAAUGAAAUCAGUUUUUUAACAUGAAAAUUUGAAUUUUAGAAAUGCUUGUGGAAGGUAUAUAUAUAUUCUUCCCUUUGAGAUUCUUUACUUUGUGCCAAGUUGAUUGGAUGUGUAACUGGCGAUUAAAUGUUGAUAGUUAAUAGCAAUGGCUAUCAAAUAAAGCGAGUCCAUUUUAAGGAUAUGAUUAAAUCACUUUGCUUGGCCUAAUGCAACUAUUUUCAAACUGCUUUCUAAAUUAAGUUAUUAACCAAACCUCUAUUGUAUGAUUUGUAUCCUGCUGAAGCCAAGGUACAAGUGUAGUGGUUGAGAAUCCUGCAAUUUUUUUUUUAGUUUUUUGUUUGACAGAAAAUCUACCAAUUUAAGUUGUUGAAACUGUUGAAUCUUGUGAUAGUAAAUUAUUUACAAUGGCUGUAUAUUAAGGAUAAUUACUUAGGAAAUCAUCUCUGUAUAAGAUAUCUUUAUCGUAUAUAAUAAUAAUAAUAGAAUCAAGUAUGAUCAUUUUGUCAAUAUGGUAUAUAACGGAUAUAUUUUAGUGUUGGACCACCAUUUGAGUUAUUAUAUGGUGCAUUUUGCGAUACAUUUGUGUGGUGAUAUGAAUGUGAAAUGCAUUGUUUCUUACUGUUUGAGAUGUUAGUUAGUUGUUUCUUUUCUCCUUUCAGCAGUAUAUAAUGAGACAUCUUAUGUUUUUACCACUUUCUAAACCUUGUAAUAUACUCAAUAAAAUUUUCUUUGGACUCUUGUUUGUACAUGGUAUUUUUCUUUUUGCUUAAUGCAUCAUUCUUGAAGUUUUUGUGACUGCAUCCGUGGGAAAUGGUUUGUUAGAGAAGGUGGGGCUGUUAGGGAACAUAUUGAGAGGUAGGAAACCAAUUGCAAAAUGAUUCAGAUCCUUCUACUCUUCAAAACUCAGAUAAUCCAAGUAGGAUUCUCGUAUCUACACCGUUAAAUUUAGUAAAUUAUUCGACUUGGAGUAUGUCUGUGACUAUGACACUUGCUUUAAAGAAAGAUUUGGGCAACCUAUACACCAAUUAAAGAAAGAAAUAAGUAGUUUCAGUCAAGAAUCUAUAUCAGUUGCUGUUUCCUUUACAAAAUUGAAGAAACUAUGGGAUAAACUUGGUGUUUUAAAGCAUCAAUAAAGAGUAGGUUGAAUAUGAGUUUGUUUUUAGUAUAAUUCUAUGUUCAGCCUCCUCAUUCUUAAAAGAAAAGUUGGGAAGUUAGAAAGUUGGGAGUGGAGGAANNNNNNNNNNNNNNNNNNNNNNNNNNNNNNNNNNNNNNNNNNNNNNNNNNNNNNNNNNNNNNNNNNNNNNNNNNNNNNNNNNNNNNNNNNNNNNNNNNNNNNNNNNNNNNNNNNNNNNNNNNNNNNNNNNNNNNNNNNNNNNNNNNNNNNNNNNNNNNNNNNNNNNNNNNNNNNNNNNNNNNNNNNNNNNNNNNNNNNNNNNNNNNNNNNNNNNNNNNNNNNNNNNNNNNNNNNNNNNNNNNNNNNNNNNNNNNNNNNNNNNNNNNNNNNNNNNNNNNNNNNNNNNNNNNNNNNNNNNNNNNNNNNNNNNNNNNAAUUAAUAUAUAAAAAUAUAUUAUAUUAUUAAUACGUAAUUUAUUCAUAUAAUUAAUACUUAUUAUAUUAAUAAUACGUAAUUUCAUUCUCUGCUAUAAGUAUUUAUUAAAAUACAAAUAGAAUUUAUAAAAAAUUAAUUAAGUGUGAAUAUUUCAUAUAAUUUGUGAUAAUCUCUCCCAUUUCAAACUCCUAACAAAAAAUCUACUGACCUAUAAACUAAUUCUGCCAUCUUAAGUGAUGAUCUAAGAUCCAAUAGAAUAGGGUUUUACAAGGGUUUUUGUAUUGAAUAAUCAGACAUAAACUUUCAGAGGAGGGGACUCCCCUUUUAUACAUUGUCUCGCUUACUGGUGACGUGUAAAGGCUUCUCCAUGAUUGGGACACGCGUCUCUGACAUACAGAUUCGGGUGUACGAGGGUAUCAGCCGCCUGCUCCAUGCGUAACGGCCUCUGAUUCUCCCAUGCGUACGUCCGUGCGGAUCUGCCAGGCUGUCUGAACUGGGCUCCGGAUAUUGGACUGGGCCAAGAGUCGGGCCGGACGCUGAGCCCAAGAGGAGAAGGCUUGUUUGGCGCGGGCUGGGCCGGCCUGAAUGAAGAAGCUUGGCCGAGCCCGGCAAGAAUGAGUUAGGCUUGCUGGGUAUGUCAGGUAUGUGGGCCUCCAUGUUAUGGGCCUUUUGCUGUGAUCAGGCCCCUGGUCUGGAGUAAAGAAAUCCAGCGGUCAUCAAUUGCCCCUUCACCUUCUCGGGAGUUUAUUGUUCCAACUGCCGAGGGGGUGAAUAUCAAGAACCAUAAUGGCCGCGUCUGUUCAUGUUCAGGUGUCUUUAUAAUACCCUUUCAUUUUUUUGUCGUUGUGCAGUUUCUGAAUCCUAUCUGCUCUUUCCUCUUUCAGACUUUUCUUUAUUCUUCGCGUUCUCUGCUAUCUUUGUUUUCCUGUCAUUAUUAUCUGGACGUGUUUUUUCUUUCCUUUCCCAUGAACAUCUUUUAAGGAUUCUGACGGCAUUAGUUGAGAAUUCGGCUCUAUCUUUUCCUGCAUAGAAAUUCAAACUUUUUAUAUAUUAGUGUUACCUCUUCCCUAUUCUCCAGCACUUUAUUGGAGCGAGAGCGUUUUUUCUUCCAAAUUUAUCUGUCAAGGUGCGGGUUUUGCGUCCGCGGAGGAUCUAUCGAACGCCUUCUUCAAACAGAUAGAAGUAAGUCCGAGGUUCUGUUGCUUUGUUGCCCCAGAGGUUUGUUUCGAUCCUAUUUUCAUCAUUUUGGUGGGGGAUUGUUCUGACUUGUCUCUGUUUUGAAAUCUGUUUGCAGUACCUGAGAUAAAAAUGAGUCAGCUCAAAAUUCUUGAGAAUUUGAGGUUACCUCUAAGGAGUCUAAACGUUGCUUUGGAGGUCCUUUUGGUAGGGCGGUCGAUGGGUGGGACCAUUCGGCAGGUCACUGAAAUUACUUUACCCAGAUCGUCUGGCCGACCUCCCCCCUUGUUGUCUUCUUUUGAUAUAAAUGGAAGGGACUCAAGUGCUCGUCUCAUCGUUCCCUUUGGUGUGAAGUACCAGUAUUAUUAUUCCCUUUAGUGUGAAGUACCAGUAUUAUGCGGGGCUGAGAUCAGCUGCACUCAGUCAAGUCGUCAACGACUUCUUCGGCUGUGGGCUUCAUGAUCUCUCCGGUACCGCAGCUGGGAAGCCCGUGUUUUCAUGGUACAUUCGAGCAAGCUCAGAUAUUAUAUCCCGCUCGUAUGUACCGUGAAUCACAUUUGGGCAACUGGGGUGUCUGCUAUUAUAGGAGAACAGUGAGAAAUGCUUAUGGGGAUCAGCUUGUUCAGUUCUCCUAUGAUAGCGAGACAGAUCUCGACCUUUCUGCCGAGCUCAUUUCUGGCUUUUUCUGCCAAACUCACAUACCGAGCUGCGAGAGUUCCUCCGAAUCGAAGACUCACAUUCCGAGCUGCGAGAGUUCCUCCGAAUCGAAGACUAGAAUAGAUGAUAAUGAUGUAAAUCCUAUAAGGAUAAUCUUUUUUCCAUAGUAUAGGCCUUUGUAGCGUGCUGUAAUGUACUUUCCUUUUAAUGAAAUUCUUGUUUUUCGUUCAUACUUGAUCUUUUGUUCUUCUCUCUAUCUUGAAUGAAGUACUGAUAGCCUUAGCCGACUAAAUUUUAUUUUACUUUAUCCGGACUGGCCGUACUUGUGUACUCUUGCUAUUAGCCAAUGAACCGAACUCCGGACCUAGCCCACUGGGAGGUCAAGUUGCUUUUCCGAGCUGGGCUAACCAUCCUGUCUUUAAUGUGCUGACCUUUAGAUCUCAAGUCAGCUGAGCUCUUAAGCUGCGUUUCCCGAACCUGGACAGACCGACCUAUGAGCUCUACUUUUUUCCGAGCCAGCAUACCGACCUUCGAGUUCGGUCCCUAUUCGGUCUUUGAACCUCUUUAACCGGCCGAGCUCUGAAGUUAUGUUCUCCGAGCUGGACUAUCCGAACUGCGAGUCCGGUCUCAGUAUACUUUUCCCGGAGUGCCGACCUGUGGGUUCUAUCUUUAAUUCAUGAGUCGAGCUCUGAGCUCUCAACUCAGUAUGGCUCCGAGGUGCCUUUAUUGCUUUUUCCCGAUCUCAUAUCCCUGUUUGAUAACAGCGAGUAAAAAACUUAUAACUUUUUAAGUGAUAAGCAGGUCUGACCUUAAUCAUGCCCUCAUCUGCUUGUACUCUUGAGUCUUUUCGCGACUUGCGUUUUUAAGUUGCUCUGGUGAGUUGGGCUUGUUUUAUGCAGGUGGUAAGUGGGCUUUUGAAUGAUGGGCUGUCGUCGUGGACCCGGUCCUUGGUGGAUAUGGAGAAGCCCGGCGAUCAUCCUUUUGUCCCUUUACCUUCUCUCCGGUUAUUACCUAACUGUUGAGAGGGUAAACUUCGAGAGUAAUUAAUGAUCGCGCCGCUCCAAGACAAAACUGUUCAGAUCCACGUUCCGCCUCAUUAUUGCCUUUCAUUUCGAAUUCCUUCUGUCUUCUGAGAAAAACUAGUUCUUUUCUACUCUCUGUUUUCCUGCGACUUCUUCUGCCUUUUUCACCCCAUAGUUUUCUCAGGUACGCUCCUCUGUUCUUCUAUGACAGUUUCAAUGCUUCCUGAUGUUGUUAACGUGGAGUCACGCAUUACUCCUUCCAACAUAUUUAACUACAUUUCCCGGAGGCUCUCAGAUACUCCGUUGUAUCGUAUUCGGGCGCCUCUUCCAAAUGAAAGGAUAGUUCUUCCUUACCCUCCUCCUCCGGGUUUGGUGGAUCCCCAAGAUGAUCGUAGUAUAGUGUUUUUCUUAAAACAGAGAGAAUUUGGUUUACCCUUUCCUUUUACCCCUUUUUUUGUCGAGGUCUUUGAAUACUUUGGGGUAACUCCUCGGAUGUUAUCCCCAAAUUCCAUUUUGUUCAUGUCCUGCUUCAAGGCUAUCUGUCUGGGUUGGGGUUUUACACCCACAGCCGGUCUGUUUGUUACUUUUUUCCGUCUGGUCAAGGCGGCUCAAAACUUCUAUUACUUUUCCCCCCGUAGUGGGUUGUCUCUUUUCACGGGGUAUAAGGAUUCUAUAAAGGGAUGGGUAGAACAUUUUCUCGUGGCGGAACUGAAAUUAGGGUCCGCCCGAACGUGGGAGGUGGACCUAAGUUGGGGAGAAAUCUUUCCGGGUUGUAAUGAGCUGCCCCAGUUGAGUCUUGUUGAGCAAGUAGGGCUGCUUCGACUGACUUCCGUUGAGAGGAAGUAUGACGUCGAGAAGUGUAUGUUCGUGUCCAAUCUUAGGGAUAUCAAGGACACGGGUAAAAUGCUUUGUUUGGCUGUUCUGUUUUUUCUUUGCUUGUGAUAUCAGAAGGUAUGCUGACCCUUCAUAAUUUUAUAUUUUGCAGCCUCCGAAGUAAAAAUGGACAAAAUCAAAUUUCCCAAGAACUUUGUCCUAUCUCGGGAUCAUAUGCAUGCGAUUUUUGAUGCCUUUGGAACUGGUCGCUCUGUAACUGAGAUCGCUGCGGAGGUGGUUCAAACUGCUUCUUCCAAGAAGGUCAGCCGACCUCCCGCCCCGGCUUCUUCGCAAGCUUCAAAGCCGAGCUCUCGUAGUGCCAAGCCGGGCUCUCGCAGCACCAGCACCAAGCCGAGCUCAACUUCGAGGCCUGCUGAAGGGUCUAGGUCUGCUCCAGCUUCCUCAGAGGUCGUAAAGGAGACCCCCUUAGCUGUUGUGGAGCGGACCCAAGGUGCUGAUCAAGUGGAGCCGGGUGUUGCCCACUCUCCCGAAAGGGUAUCCGGGGGAAAAUCUAAAUCCCCUGUUGUUGAAGUCCAGGAGGCCUCCGGGACAGGGCUGGAGAUCGUCCUUGUAGAAGAUCUAGCUGCAGAGGUCUCUCCCCGUGAUGCCCCUGUCCCUGUGAGGACUGAUUCUGAUGGUUCUGAGGGCGUUCCUCCAAAGACCGGGGACAAGCGCUCAGCUCCUUCUGGAGCAUUCGCCCCAUCCCCUGCUCGGAAGAAGUCCAGGACUACCGCAGGCUCUUCUCCAGCUCUUCCACCCAUUGGGAAGGGGAAAAGUGUUCUUGCCGAGCCUCCAUUGCCUUCUUCUGACAAUGUUUUAAAUACCUCGGGCAUUACCUCCGAGGCUUCGGCCAGUGCUGUUGCUGACCUUCUUAGAGAGCAGAUGUUCGGCGGAGUUACAGAGGCUUCGGAUCCUCGUCUUCUUGCCCUGACUGGUCUUUUGGCCAUUUCCACUAAGGAGCAAGCAUCUUUCCGGUCUCACUCUCAUGAGGAGCUCGGAUCCUCGAUCAGGGAGAUGCUUCUGAUGGUAAGUCAUUUCUCCCCUUUUUUCAGUUUACUUUGUUUCUUUUCUUGACGGUUGCUUUUUUAUGUUAGGUGACGGGCCUCUUCAUGGAGGUGGAUGCUCGUAAUCGUUCCCUCCGGGAGUCCGUAGACCGCCGGAUUGAAGAGGCACGUCUAGAAGAGAAUAUAUCUGCAACCAAUGACGCGAGAGGCAAUCUGGUAGCUGCUCGGGAGCAGAUCCAGUCCCUCCAGGCGGAAUUGCAGUCUGCGCUGGAGGCCUUCAAAAAGGCUGAGGAGAAAAUAGCUGAGACAGCAAAGCAUACCUCGUUCUUAGAAGAUGAGCUGUCUCGGACUCGCAAUAUUCUCAAGGAGUCCGAUGAGAGGGCAGCUACCUUGGAGAUUCGCUGUGAAGAUGUUUUACAGCAGCUGUCUUCUAUGACGGGAGCCCUUCGCGAGAGGGAUGAGGCUGUGAGCCAAAAAGCUGAAGCCCAGCGCCAGUAUGAGGCUUUAAAAGCUGAUUUUGAGGGGCUUCAGGCUCACCUGAAUGAGGUGAAAGCUCAUAGAGAGAGUGCCCUAGCUCGGGUGCAGGUCCUUGAGCAGGAGUUGAGCACAAGCUCUGACCAUAUCAGAGACUUGACUUCAUCGGCUGAAGAGUCCAACCUUCGCCAUCAACAGCUUAAUCACGAAGUCAGGACCUUGGAGCGCAAGUGCUUAGCCCUGCUCGAAGUGGUAAAGCAUGCUGAAGAUAAGGCUCGGCUAGUGCGCGAGCAAUGCAUUGCUGAGUAUCAGGAGUCUGACGAGCUGAAGGGGAAAAUCGUGCAGGCCUGUGAGGCUCACCUUCAGGAUUACAAAGACUCUUCUGAAUUUAAGGAAUUUGUAGCUGAGGCCUGUGAAGCACAUCUCGAAAAAUAUCUAGAUUCUGCUGAGAUGAAGUCGGCUAUUCUUAAGAAAGCCUUCCGUAUGUUCGUAACCGGCUAUAACCGCGGUUUAAGAGAAGCCAGACAGGCUCCUGAUAUUCCCUUGGCCCAGCUUCGCAAGCGCGAACUGGACUCUGAUGGUGAGGAAGUGCUAUAUGGAGAAGAUGAUUUCCCUUUACCCCGAGGAGAUUCUCGGAGGAACAGAGAUCAAAACCCACCAGUUGUGUCUCCUUCAGGCGAACCUGAGCUAGAGGGGGAGGACGUGGAAGUCCUUGGCUCACAGGAAGAUAACCCUGACUCCGAGGAGGAGGACCUUCACCUUGGGUCAGAGAUUCCCCCUGUUGUUAAUGUGGAGAGCUCUGAUCCGGAGGACCCCGAGCUUCCUUCGGAUGUAUCUGUAAAUAGGGAUAAUGUAGGCGAGGGGGUUACUGAUGUAAGUCCUUUAAGGACUAUUUAUGCUCCUACUUCGCCAGAGAGAUAAAUUGUAAUAUUUGUUGAAAUAUUAAUUUUCUUAUUCGGACUACUCUGUUUUUCAUAUGUAUUUAUAAGCUCUGAAUUAAUUUUAUCUCUUUAGCUAAUAGUAGAUCAGAUCUUAUAUCUUUUUAAUGGUAAUCAGCAUGUCUGCUUCUUUUUUGUUUUUUAACCCUUCCUUUUUGGUCGUGAAGAUUUCUUUUUAUAAGUCUUUUUUAGGGAGCUUGGCCUCUUUCUUUGGCCUUUGUUCCUUCAGCUUUUGAGGAUAUAAAUCUUAUCCGUGCUGGGAGCUCGAUUUUGAGCUUAUCGAUAAUAUAGGCCUAUCCGGGCUGGGAGCUCGGUUUUUUGCUCUAUGGCCAAACUUUUAGUUUAGCCUUUGCUUCGAGGUCGGCGCUUUUUUGCCCAAAAACCUCUUUAGUAGGUCGGAACCUAACUAUCCAAGCUAGGAGCUCGGCCUUCUUUAUGGCCAAGCCUUUAUCGCCUAUUUCGAGGUCGGCGUCUUUCAGCUUUUGUGCCCCGAUCCUCCUUAGGAGGUCGGAGCUUGGCUAUCCGACCAUUUUUGUUUUCCUGGGACUUCCGGGGAAUUCCGGUCUUUUUUGCUUAUCCGGGAGAUCAUGGGGAUCUCGGUCUUUUUAUUUUCCGGGAGAUCUUGGGGAUCCCGGUCUUCUUUAUUUUUCGGGAGAUCUUGGGGAUCCCGGUCCUCUUAUUUUCCCGGGAGAUCUUGGGGAUCCCGGUCUUUUUAUUUUCCGGGUGGUUUUCUUUUUUGUGGGAGAAUUUUAUAGAGAUAAUCAUAUUGUGUAGACAAUUUUAUUUACUUAUGUUUUGUAAAAAUACAAUAUUUACAAAUAUUUCAAGGGAAAUACCUCUUUAGGUGUUGGAUGUUCCAGGCGUGGGGCUCGGGGUUUCCUUGCAUAUCCUCAAUUCGGUAUACCCCUGGCUUGACCACUUUUGUUACUUUGAAAGGUCCUUCCCAGGUCGGUGCUAGCUUUCCUGCGGCUGCUCUUUUGCCUGUGGCUUCCAGGUUUCUUAAAGUCAAGUCUCCCACCUUUAAGCUUCUCUCUCUAACCUUUUGAUUGUAAUAUCUUGCUGCUCGUUGCUGGUAAGCAGCAGUUCGGAUUUGGGCUUCUUCCCUAACUUCCUCAAGGGCAUCUAGGUUACUUCUUAGCUUGUCCUCGUUAGUAUCCUCGCUAACGAACUGGACUCGAUGAGUGGGAAUUUGUAGCUCAACUGGAACUACGGCCUCUGUGCCAUACGCAAGUGCAAACGGCGUUUCUUUAGUGGGCGUUCUGGGAGUGGUUCGAAGUGCCCAUAGGAUACUAUUGAGUUCUUCUGCCCAACUCUCCUUCGCGCCAUCUAGCCGUUUCUUUAACCCUUGGAGGAUAGCUCUGUUAGUGACUUCAGUUUGACCGUUAGUCUGAGGGUGAGCCACGGAUGAGAACUUAUGCCAUAUGCCCAUGUUCGUUGUGAAGGCUCUGAAAGUAUUGCAAUCAAAUUGCUUGCCGUUGUCUGAGAUAAGCACUCUUGGUAUGCCAAAUCUGCAGAUGAUAUGCCCCCACACAAAAUCUAUCAUCUUGCGAGCUGUGAUUGUCGCUAUUGCUUCUGCUUCUGGCCAUUUCGAGAAAUACUCUACAGCCACCACCACAAAUUUCCUUUGCCCCGUAGUCUUGGGGAAAGGUCCCAGGAUGUCGAUUCCCCAUUGUGAGAAAGGCCAUGGACUGGAUAUGCUUGCUUGAGGAGUAGCAGGGGCCCUGAUGGCAUUAGCGAAUCUCUGACAUACGUCACACCUCCGGACAAACUCUUCUGUUUCUUUUUUGACCGUGGGCCAAUAGUAUCCUUGUCUAAAUAUUUUGUUGGCUAAUGUUCCUGCUCCCUCGUGUGCUCCACACAGGCCUCUAUGUAUUUCUUCCAUUACCCUUGUAGCCUCUUCCGGGCUCACACAUCGGAGCCAUGGGCUGGACUUCCCUUUUCUGUAUAAGGUUCCCCUGAUCACUUGGUAAUUGGCGGCUCGAGCUGCUAUCUUUCUGGCCUCGUCUUUAUCUUCGGGAAGCUCGCCCUUCUCCAGGUAUUUGUAUUUUUAAAAGCAGGUGUAUGAAUAUACUGUAUAUAUACUUCAUCAGGGAGCUGCUCUAGUUCUUCUUUGGACAGCCGACUGAGUAGAUCUGCCUCCUCGUUUUCAUCCCGAGGUAUCCUCUGAAAUCUGACAAUAAUUCCUCGAUUCGUGAGCUCGGCUUCCAAAGCUUUCGCUCUGUCAAGAUAGCUUUGCAUGACGGGGUCUCGGGCUUGAUAUACUCCUGUCAUCUGGUUGAUUACCAGCUGGGAGUCACUGUUUACCUCGAGGUCGGUUGCCCCUACCUCCAAAGCUACCAACAUUCCAUUCACCAGAGCUUCAUAUUCGGCAAUAUUGUUGGAAGCCUUGAACUUUAGUCGUAAGGCAUAACAUACUUUAAAGCCAUCCGGCCCUUUAAGCAUUAUCCCAGCGCCACUGCCCCCAGAGCCUGAUGCUCCAUCUACAUAUAGCUUCCAGCUGAAUUCUUGGGAAGGCUCUUCUUCUCCCUCUUUUCUUGGUAUCUCUGAGAAUGAUCCCUCCUUCUCCUCAUUGAAUGCGCACUCUGCUACAAAGUCAGCCAGCGCUUGAGAUUUUAUUGCAGUCCGAGGUCGAUACUCCAGACAGUAAGGGCUGAUUUCCAUGGACCAUGCCAACAUCCGCCCUGAAGUUUCCGGUCUACGUAGAAUCUUCUUUAAAGGUUGAUCUGUCAUUACAACUCCUUGGUGACCUUCUAGGUAGACUUUGAAUUUCCGGACUGCUAGCAACAAGGCGUAGGCUAUCUUUUCAAUUUUUGAGUAUCUGACCUCAGCAUCUCUAAGUACUUUGCUGACGUAGAAAACGGGUUUCUGUUCCCCUUCUUCCACCCUCACUAACACUGCACUGAUUGCUUGUUCUGAGGCCGCCAAGUAUAUCAAGAGUUCUUCUCCUUCUACCGGACUACUAAGCACGUGAGGCGAGCUGAGAUAUUUUUUAAGCUCUAUGAAAGCUUUUUGGCAGUCUUCCGUCCAUUCGAAGUUCGGUACCUUCCUCAAUUUUUUGAAAAAUGGCAGGCACUUUUCGGCCGACCUUGACAUGAAUCGGUUGAGCGCCACUACUCUCCCGGUUAGUCUCUGGACGUCUCUUACACAGGUCGGCUCUGGCAUGUUCAAUAUGGCUUUCACCUUCUCUGGAUUAGGCUCAAUGCCUUUUCCGCUCACCAUGUAUCCCAAGAACUUUCCUCCCCUAAUGAAGAAGGCACAUUUGCUGGGUUCAACUUCAUUCUGUAUUGGUCUAACACCCCAAAUAUCUCUUUCAAAUCUGCUAUGUGUUGUUGGAAAGUUAUACUUUUGACCACCAUGUCAUCCACAUACACUUCCACAUUCCGGCCGAUCUGAUUUUUAAAGAUUUUAUUCAUCAAUCUCUGGUAAGUUGCCCUGGCAUUCCUCAAUCCGAAGGGCAUAGCCCUGUAGCAGUAAGUCCCUUCUUCAGUUAUAAAUGAAGUCUUCUCCUCAUCCGACUUUUCCAUCGGGAUUUGGUGAUAACCAGACAUAGCAUCCAAAGAGGACAUGUAAUCAAAACCGGCCGUUGAGUCGACCAUUUUAUUAAUGUCAGGGAGGGGGUAACAAUCUUUAGGGCAGGCUUUAUUCAGGUCGGUAAAAUCUAUGCACAUCCUGUAUUUGCCAUUGGCUUUUUUGACUAACACAGGAUUUGCUAACCACUGCGGGUACAUAACUUUCCUGAUAAAUCCUGCCUCUUCUAACUUCUGGACUUCUUCCUGGGUGGCCUGCUGCUUCUCUCUUCCCAUUACUCUUUUCUUUUGUUUCACUGGCUUGGCCUCGGGGAAGACAUUUAGUUUGUGCGUCAUCACCUUAGGGUCAAUUCCCGGCAUGUCUGAGGGCUUCCAUGCAAAGGUCGGCGCGUGACUUCGGAUUAGGGCCAUUACUUCAACCUUCUGCUCUUUGGUGAGGCCGGCAUUGAGACUGAAGACUUUGCUUGUCUCUGAUUCUGACAAAGAGAAGGUCUCCAAUUCUCCCACCGGCUCUGUCCGAGCUUCUUUUGUCUCAUCCCUCACUUCCAAAACCUCCGAGUCAAGCGCUUCUUCAGUUGGGCUCGGUUCUGAUACUGUGGCCAGAUAUACUGCUCUAGCCUCCUCCUGGCUGCCCCGGACUAUUCCCACUCCUUCCUUUGUUGGGAACUUGAGUGUCAAAUACCGGAUGCUGGUGACAGCUUCAAAAUCGAACAGCGCCGGCCUCCCCAAGAUCACAUUGUAGCACAAUGGGAGUUUGACUACCACAAAUACCUCGUGAUGAGUGCGAGCUCUAGGCGCUUCUCCCAAGGUGACAACCAGCUUCACUUUUCCUUCAACGAGUACCGGCGCACCUCCGAUCCCUUUAAUUGGUGACUGGUCUCGAACCAGCUGUUCUUCCGGAAUUCUCAUCUGCUGGAAAACCCGGUAUGGUAGUAAGUUGACUUUACUCCCAUCAUCUAUCAGAAUCUUCUUCACCCGAAAAUUAUUAAUGACAGCCUCAAUGACUAACGCGUCAUCAUGGGGCACCUGAAUGCCCUGUGCGUCUUCCGGGGAGAAUAUAAUGGUCAUGGGAGAAUGUUCCAUGAUCUGCAUAACUUCACCAUUGCUGGUCUCCCCUUCCCGGUUUCUCUUCUUACCUCGACGGCUCAUCCGUCCUCCCGUUCCUCCGACAAUCAUGUUGAUGGUUCCACUGGACCCAUCAUUCAAAGGCCCAACUCCUGUUCUCCUCGGUAUCGGAGUUGCCGGACCGGUCUGAGGUCUCUGUCCCUCCGGUUUCUUCACAAAAUUUUUGAGAUGCCCCCUUUUUAUCAACCUCUCAAUCUCUGCAAUCAGCUGAAAACAGUUGUUCGUAUCAUGGCCAUGUGUCCGGUGGUACUGACAGUAUUUGUCAGGGUUUCUUUGGUCUGCUUCCGACCUUAGGGGUUUCGGCCACUGGAGAAACUCCUUAUCCUGGACUGCUAUGAGCACCUCGGCUCUAGAGGCGUUGAGGGGAGUUGGCUUUUCAGGUACCCAAGGAGGGAGCGUUCUUGGCUCAAGAACCCAAGGAGGGGGAGGAGGCCUUUGAUCCCUUCUCUCCCAGGCCUGCUUAUACGGCUCGGGCCUCUUCCCAUGUUUCUUCUCACGUCUCUCUGGCCUUCUCUCUUCCGGGACUUUCUCUUUACCUGCCAUCCCUUUGGCAAAUCGACUUGUUACUAAGGCAUCAUCCUGCCUUAUGUACUUCUCCGCCCUCUUCAUCAACUCAGCCAGCGAGGUCGGAGGUUUCCUGCUUAGGGAGCCAAAGAACUCGGCAGAGGUUGUCCCCUUCUGCAUGGCCUCUACCGCUCUCCCUUCGUUGAGCUCGGGGAUCUAUAAGGCCUCCGUAUUGAAACGGGUGACAUAUUCUCUGAGGGUUUCACCAGCUUUCUGUCUCACUGUUUCUAGAUAGCUCGUCUUCCUAUCUGUUGGCACCCCGGCUACGAACCGGCUGAUGAAGUGGGUGGCAAGAUCUCCGAAACUUUUAAUACUUCCGGCCUCCAGGCUGUUGAACCAUGCCCUUGCUGGUCCCGAGAGCGUUGUUGGGAACACUUUGCACAUUAGAGCAUCUGACAGAGUUUGCAACUCCAUGAAAGUUUUAUAGUUCAUGACAUGCUCUCUCGGGUUACCAGUUCCAUCAUAGGCCGCCAUUGACGGCAUCAUGAACUUCUUAGGAACGGUCUCCUGCUGUACCACCUUUGAGAAAGGAGAAGAAGUAGGCAAGGAAGUUAGGCUCAGGUCUUUCUUACCUAGCUCGGCUAAGAGCUGCUCUUUCAACUUUUUCAAUUUUUGGCUCAUCUUCUCGUCCUCCAGGCUGUAUUCCUCCUCUUCCUCUGCUUCCAUUCCCGUCUCUAUGGUUGUUUCAGCGGCAUAGUUAUCCGCCUCAUCAUUUUCUAUCAUCUCUCUCGCCCUUCUCCCAUGGAUUCGGGCCUGUGGUUCUUCUUCUUCCCUGGUUUCGUGGCUAUUAGUUUGGAGGCGGUCGGAAGUGGGUCGGGGCUCAUUGGUUCUGGGUUCCUCCACUACUGGAAGUGCAUUUACUGGGGUGCUAAGGCCCCUCUGUUGCAUUAUCUGCCCCAACCAGUGAGCAGUAGUUUGUAGCUGGAGAGCCAUGUUUUGGAUGUCCUGGUUAGACAGGGUCAUAGUGGGAGUAUUCCCUGCCAAGCUUGGCGAGGGAUUAAGGGGAGCAGGUGUUUGGUUAUUCAACGUUGUAGGGCUAGAAAAAGAGAACUGCUGCCCUUCUUGGGCAGAGUUCAAGUCAUUUGGAAUGUUAAGGUUACUGUCUUGAUGGUUUGCCAUUGUGGAUCUCAGUGGGUUUUGAAAGUGGAAACUCCGGUGAUGAAAAGAUCUCCUUCGUUUCCCACAGACGGCGCCAAUUGAUGAUCUGAGAUCCAAUAGAAUAGGGUUUUACAAGGGUUUUUGUAUUGAAUAAUCAGACAUAAACUUUCAGAGGAGGGGACUCCCCUUUUAUACAUUGUCUCGCUUACUGGUGACGUGUAAAGGCUUCUCCAUGAUUGGGACACGCGUCUCUGACAUACAGAUUCGGGUGUACGAGGGUAUCAGCCGCCUGCUCCAUGCGUAACGGCCUCUGAUUCUCCCAUGCGUACGUCUGUGCGGAUCUGCCAGGCUGUCUGAACUGGGCUCCGGAUAUUGGACUGGGCCAAGAGUCGGGCCGGACGCUGAGCCCAAGAGGAGAAGGCUUGCUUGGCGCGGGCUGGGCCGGCCUGAAUGAAGAAGCUUGGCCGAGCCCGGCAAGAAUGAGCUAGGCUUGCUGGGUAUGUCAGGUAUGUGGGCCUCCAUGUUAUUGGCCUUUUGCUGUGAUCAGGCCCCUGGUCUGGGGUAAAGAAAUCCAGCGGUCAUCAGUAUUUAUUUAUUUUUAAAACGGAGUGUACAUCUAUUUAUAAAUCCAUCAAUGUCGGUUUAUAAAAUAUUUAUAAAUAAAUUAUACAUCUAUUUAUAAAUUAAUUUGUGAUGAGUUGCAAUACUUAUCAUUUUUUUUAUAUUAAAUUUCAUAAUUUUACUAUGAUUUUGAUGUAAAAAUUUAAUUUUUAUUUGAAAUUUGAUUUUGAACAGAUUUUGAGCUAAAAAUAAGGAAAAGAACUAAAAGAAACUGCUUUUAGAGUUUUUUAAUGAUUGCAAGGUACAGCCUGCUCAAGACUGUAAUCCAAGCCAACAAACAGAUUCCAGAAUUACUGUUUUGCCAGCUAUACAAAAUUCAAAACUAUUUUAAAUAUAUGCAAAUAAAAUUAUAUAGUCAUCAUAGGAAUAGUAGAUUUAUUUUACUUUUUCUAUUAAAUUAUGAAUAAUUAUUUUUUUAUUUAGAAAAAACUUAUAUAAAGGUUGAUGUGGAAGUAGAAUUUACCAUCUCUUCUCAUCAUCUCCUCUCUUUUUCGGUUCCUUCUUAGCCAAAUUCUUAUUAUUCUUCUUCUUCUUUUAAUGUUUUGCAAUUUUAUUAUAACCUUUAUAGGCUAAACACUCUUACUCAAUUAAAAGUUAAUCAAAUUGAAAUUCAUUUAAAAUUAUGAGAUUAUGUUCUUAAUAUCUGUUUAUUUUAUCUUUAUUUUCAAUUAAUUUCUAUUUUUGAGGAAUACCACCUCCAUGAUUGUUCUUUUAAAAUUCAAAAGGGUUAUUGAAUCUCCUUUGAAGACAUCAUAUUGUUAUUUAAUCCAAGUAAGUUUAAUUGGGUUAAUACAAGUAGCAAUUAACAUAUUUUUUAUGUUAAGUAAUUAAUUAAUUUGGUUUAAAUAAUUUGCUUAUUAUUAUUGAUCAAGUUUGAGUUAUUCUCUUUCUAUAGCAGUUAAUUAAUUAAAUCUACACGUUUAAUGGAGUUAUUAAUUAAUUAAAAAUUAAUUUAAGCGUUAUGUGGAUUAAUUUAAAAAAAAAUUGGUAAGAUUCGUUUAUUUGAACACUAUAACCACUAACUAUCUUUUUAAUUAACAAUAAACUGCAAACCUUUUAAUUUUAAUUAUCUUCAGCUGAAUUUUAAUUUGAUUAUUUGUUUCAUCAUUUUAAUUAUUAUUUUCUUUCUUUAAGUUUUCUUUUUAAAUCAAUUUCUCCAAUAACGAUUUUAUUCUUUUUUUUUAUUUUCAACUAUUCUUUUAUUCUGCUUAUCAUCUAAUUUAAAUGAAGUUAAGGUAUAUGUAGAUCAAAACCCUAUCUGCAUAUUUUUUUUAAAUUAAGUAAAAGAAAAUCAGUUUUAAUUAACGAAUUUAACGCCCGUUUGUAUUCAUUAAAUUUUACAAACGGAUUUUAUACUUGUUUACGAAUCCGUUUACAUCUAUUUAAUUUUACAAACAUAUUAUAUAUCCAUUUAUAAAUUAAAUUGUGUUUAUUUAAUUUUAUAAAUGUAUCACUCGAAUACAUUUAUGUCUAAUGCUAAAUAUGUGAAAAAAAAAAUCAAUAUAUCAAUUCUAUAUUUAAUCUUUAUGUUAAUUUAUAUUUUAAUCAAAUUUAUUUAUUUUUUUAAUUUCAAUUUAAUACUUGAUGAGUUGUAAAAUUUACUAUUUUUUUCAUAUUAAAUUUCAUUUUGUUAUGAUUUUGAUAUAGGCAAUUGAUUUUUACUUAAUUUUAAUUUUGGAUAGGUUUUGAACAGAAAAUAAGAAAAUGAAUAAAAAAAAUACUGUUUUAAAACUUUUUUUAAUUAUAAAAUACAACUUUACUCAAAAUUAUGACUUAAUUUUGAUGGACAGAUUGUAAUAUUUCUGGUUUGCCCAUUGUAGAGAGUUCAAAACUGUUUUCAUAUUCAAAUACAAUCAGAUCAAAAUUAAGAUAAAAAUUAUCAUAGGAGUAAUAGUUUUAUUUUACUUUUUCUUUUAAAUAGUGAAUAAUUAUCUUUUUAUUUAGAAAAAUCCUAUAUAAAGGCUGGUUUAGAAGUAGAUCUCUCUUAUAUUCUCCUCUUCUCCACACCCUCUUUUUAGUUUCUCUUCAGCCAAGCGCUCCUUCCCUUCUUCUUUUAUUUUUUACAAUUUUGUUAUAGUUCUUAGAGGCUAAACUCCUUCAUUCAGUUAAAGGUUAAUCAAGUUGAGAUUUAAUUAAGUUGUGGGAUUUUAUUUUUAAUUUCUAUUUAUUUCAAUUUCUUUUUUCAAUUAAUUUCUAUUUUCAAAUAACAUCACCUCCUUUAAAAAUUCAAGAGGUUUAUUAAAUCGAAAGAUAAUAUAUUGUUAAUUAAUCCAAGUAAAUACGAAAUUAUUUAAUUGUGUUAAUACAAGUAGCGAUUGAUAUAUUCUUUUAUGUUAAAAAACUAAUUGAUUUAAUUAAAAUAUUUUGCUUGCAUCAAAUUUGGGUUCAUUUUCUUAAAACUGUUAAUUAAUUAAAUUUAUACGUUUGAUAAAAUUAUUAAUUAAUUAAAAAUUAAUUUAAGCCUAUGUGAAUUAAUUUAAUUUUAAAGAGGUGAAAUUCAUUUAUUUAAACACUAUAACUAAAUAAUGGGAAAUUGAGUGAAUAUUUUUUUAAAUUAAUGAAGUCGUAAAUUUUAAUUUUAAUUUUUAUUCCAUUUAUAUUCAUUUAAAUUAAUGGUUAAAUUUUUUUUUUUAAAUUGGGGGUUGGAGGAUUCGAACCUGAAACCUUCUCAGGUUUACUCGAAUGGACCUAAGUCUGUGAGUGCAUUAAUGGUUAAAUUUUAAAUUUUAUAAAUUCACCCUCUAAUUUAACCUUUAAUAUUUAUAAACUUAAACUUAUUAUUAAAAUUUUAUCUCAAUCUUUUCAAUUGUAAUUAAAUUUAUUUAUAAAUUAAUUUUUAAUUAAAAACACAUAAAAAAUAAAUAAUGAAAAACUGGAGAAACCUCUAUUACCUCCCAUCACACAUAAAAAAAUAAGAUUAAGAUUUCUGAAACAUAUUAAGAUUAAGAUUUUUACAAAUUUUAAUCAAUUAUAUAUUUAUUUCAACAUAUUUUAAUGGAUUUUUUUUAAUUAGUUAAAUUUUAUUGUGAAAUAUUAAUUAAUUUUUUUUCAGUGAAAUUGUUAAUGGUUUUUUAAUUUAAAAGAAAUUUUAACUUUAAUUUUAAUUUUAAAAAAUUAAAAGAAAGCUAGGUCCAAAACAUCCUAUGUACUGUUUAUGCAGUUUAACCACUUAUCCAUUCAUCCUUCUCUAUCGACUUCCCAGAAACCAUAACCCAUCCCCGCUCUACACUGUUAUAAGGUACAGUUAUAAUAAUUUAAUAUUAUAAUAAUAUAAAAUAAUUAAUUUAAUUUGUUAUUAAAUAAUAUUUUUAUAUGAAAAAUUAAUAAAAAAAAUACAAAAUGUGGUGCAUAUAAACAACUGGUAAUGCAUUCCUUUACCAGCUGGCAGAGAGCCUUCCUUUUCCGAUUCUCUAUUUCCUUUCCUCAUUCCCAAUCUCCCAUCCAUCCCUAAAAACAACUGACGAGAGAUCGAUGAUGAUGAAGAUGCCUUGGAGGAGGAAGAGCAGGAGCUUCCAUCUUCAGCUACAAGGAGCAAUCGGUACCAUUCAAUCUCCCUUCCUAUUCUUAUUUACCAAUUAUUGCCAUUCUUCUAUUUCCACGCUUGAAGAUGCACGCUUCUUGACAAAUAACUUCAAAUCUGCUGCUUUUACCCGCCUUGAUGAUGCCAUUGCUUCCUUUAAUAAUGUAAUUCAUAUGAAUCCUCUGCCUUCUAGGGUUCAUUUUAAUAGAUUCUUAUCUGCCCUUGUGAAAAUGAAACAAUAUCACACUGUCCUUUCCAUGUCCAAAACAAUUGAAUUGGUAGGAAUCUCUUACGAUGUUUGUUCUCUUAACAUCUUAAUUAAUUGCUUCUGCCGUUUACAUCUUGUGGAUUUUGGCUUCUCUGUUUUCGGGAAGAUGUUCAAAUUCGGAUUGGAGCCUACCACUGUGACAUUUACUACCUUAAUUAAUGGGCUAUGUAUGGAGAGUAAAAUCGAUAAAGCAGUGGAAUUUUUCGAUGAUAUGGUUGCACGUGGUUAUCAACCUAAUGUUUAUACUUACAAUGUGAUGGUAAACGGAAUGUGUAAAUUUGGGAAAACAAACGUGGCUAUUGGGCUGCUAAAGGGAAUGGCUGAUAGAGGUUGUGAGGCAGAUGUUGUGACAUACAGUGCAAUCAUUGACGCCCUUUGCAAAGAUGAGCUAGUUGGUGAGGCUUUAGAGCUCUUCUCUCAAAUGAGGAAUAAGGGCAUUUCACCUGAUGUCAUCACUUACACUGGUUUAAUUCAUGGUGUUUGCAAAUUAGGCCAAAAGAACCAAGCAUUGGCCUUGAUGAAUGAAAUGGUGGAGAAAAACAUAUUACCAAAUGUUUAUACCUUCAGUGUAUUGAUUAAUGCUCUUUGUAAGGAUGGAAUGGUUUCAGAGGCUCAAAAUACAUUCAAUGUAAUGAUUCAAAGAGGUGUGGAGCCUAAUGUGGUCACCUACACUUCCUUAAUUGAUGGUCUUUGCAUUUCAGGCCAAUUCAAGGAAGCUUUGGCCUUGUUGAAAGAAAUGGUGGGGAGGAACAUAUCCCCUAAUGUUUUUACCUUCAAUAUAUUGAUCGACACUCUUUGUAAGAAAGGACUGGUUUCAAAUGCAGAGAAUAUAAUCAAAAUAAUGAUUCAAAGAGGUGUGGAACCUGAUGUUGUCACUUAUAAUUCAUUGAUGGAUGGAUAUUGUCUGUGCAAGCAAAUUGAUAAGGCUAGAAAGGUAUUUGAUCUGAUGGUGACCAAUGAAAUAGCUGACAUUAUUAGCUACAGCAUUUUGAUCAAUGGAUAUUGUAAGUGCAAAAUGAUAGAUGAUGCAAAGGAUAUUUUUGUUGAAAUGUCUCAUAAAGGUUUAGUUCCUAAUGCUGUUACUUAUUCUACUCUUAUAAAGGGUAUGUUUCAAGCAGGGAGGCCCCAAACUGCACAGGAGCUCUUUAAGAAUAUGUGCUCUCAUGGUCAACAGCCAAAUAUAGUAACCUUCUCAAUUAUGAUUAAUGGCUUGUGUAGACAGGGGAAUCUCAAUGAAGCACUCACCCUAUUGAAAGAAAUGGAGGAAAGUCAGUUGAAGCCUGAUCUUGUGACCUAUUGCAUUCUGAUCAAUGGUAUGUGCAAAGCUGGCAAGAUUAAUGAUGCCAAGGAACUGUUUUCUAGUCUUUUUGAAAAUGGUUUACAACCUAAUGUUCAUAUAUAUAGUGCAAUUAUGAAAGGACUCUGCCAACAAGGAUUAAUGGAUGAAGCGUAUAAGGUAUUUAAAGACAUGGAAAAGGGAGGAUGUUUACCGAAUAAUUUUUCUUAUAAUAUCAUCAUUCAAGGGUUUCUCAGGCAUGAGGAUUUACCAAAAGCAUCAGAACUAAUCAACGAAAUGGUUGAUAAGGGGUUCUCUGCUGAUGAUGCUACCACAGAAUUGGUAGCACAUUUGUCGCAGAAUAAUGAUCUCAUUCUAAGCAAACUACGAAAUCGUUCUGAGGCUUCUAAAGCUGUGCAAUGAGGGAUCAGCAAACUAAAGUUAUAUCUUGACCAUUCAAUGGUGUCUUGGAGAUAAACUUGGUAAUUACCUUCUUCAAAUGUAGUAGAUAUGUAAUUUAACUAACUUCAAAUUUGAUUUCUAAUUUCAAUCAGAUGUGAUUCUCUUCCACAAAACGAAAAUUUCUAACACUGUAAAUUACCUGCAAUGGAAACCAUGAUAUGUGUGUGCCUUUCACUUGAACUCAGACAUGGACUAGAUCUCUUUGGAUAUAAGAUUGUUGAUGAAUGGAGGUCAGAUUUCUAAUGAUCAAGUUGCUGGUAAACCCACCAUCUUCCUUACAAUUUUUUUUUGGGCUGCUACUGCAGCCUUAACUUGAGAGCUCUGUCCUAAAAAUGAGUUGAGAACUAAAACUAAUUGAUUCCAUGCUAUAAUGCUUAAGAAUCUUGAUCUAUUUUACUUUUGUGCUCAAUGACCUUUUAAAAUGCUAUCAUUUUUCGGUAAACAUGCUGCCUUAGGACAAUAACUUGGAGAUUUUAUCAUAUAUUUUGAUUUUUACCAGUAAGAAUGCAGGUGUUAAAUCAGUGAACUAGCAGGUGUUAACACCUGCUUUCUGUAUCAUUUUACCAAAGCUACUCGUGCCUGUUUCCGUCCAUUAGAAUUUAACACCUACUAGUUUAUCAUAUACAUGCAUUACUUUUAAUAAGUUUAUGCUCCCAAAAUGGUUUCUAUUUAUUGCUAGUUUAUUACUCGUAGUAAGUUUAUGCUCAAAAUAAUUUCUAUUUAUUGCUCCUUGAGUUAAUACUUAUAACUUGAACUAGAGUUAAUACUUACUCCUUGAGUGCAAGUUUUAACACCUACUUGUUGAGUUUAAGUAUUAAUUUGAGUUUUUGCAUCAGGUACAUCUGAGCUUGAGCAUGGUGCAGUAUCUCUUCCACCAGUCCACCGGGUCUUUUCCCGCAUGCCUGAGAUGAAGAUGGAUUAGAUGAGCAAAUCGAGGAUUUUUGUUGAUUACUUGUUGUAUACAUUUUGGGGGAACUAUUUAUUUUGACAUUUACUACAAAAAUAUACUUUUAAUUAUAUAUUUUUUGUGGUUGUACUAGAUUAUUUAUGUUCAAUUUUAAGUUCAAAAGACUUUUCUUUUUAUUAUAAUUGAAUACAUUAGAUUUGUGGUUGAUUUGUGUUAUAUUAUGUAUUUAAUAGGUUGGUUUUGUGAUAUUUGUAAUUAUUUUGGAUCAGUUAAAUAAAAAUUGCAAACGAAAAUGCAAUUGAAAAUCUGGUUCAAAUUUCGUAAAGGGUGUAAAGAAGCAACAUUGAGUCACUUCGCUUUGUAGAUGAUUUGUUUUUGUUUUGUCAUGGGGCUAGGAAUUUGGUCUGUGGGCUUGGAGAGGCCUUAAAGUUGAGGAGGUUUUAGUAUUGCAAGUAAAUGAGUCUAAGAGCUGUGUUUAUCUUGCAAGAGUGCUAGAGGAGAUGAAGCAACAAACUCAUGUAAAUUAGCUCGUUAUGUAAAUUAUCUGGUUAAGUAGCCUGAGUUUAACACAGUAACAGAAAUAAAUUUCUGUGUAUAUUUUUAUGAGCCAACUUAAAUUUUCUAAAAUUCACCUCUACCUUUCAAACUUACAAAUAUUCGGAUAGAACUUACAAAUAUUCGGAUAGUAAAAAUACAUUUUUUACAAGCUUGUAAGUUAAUUUUUAUAUAUAUUUAUUUAACUAAAAUUAUUUAGUUUUAAAUUUAGAGUUAAUUGUUAAAAAAAUUCUAUACUUUUAAUUUUGUUACAAUUAUACCAUAUAUAUAUAUAUUUUUUUUCAAUUAAACUCUAACAUUUUAAAAUUGUUGCAAGUACACCCAACAGUUACUUAUGUCAUUAAAAACUAACCAUUAUUCAUGCCGUUGAAAAACUAAUGGAAAUGCUUCGUCACUCGGCCAUAUUGCAUGCCACGUCAGUAAAGUUUAUAAUUAAUCGAAAAAAAAACUCUAUAUUUUACUUUUAUUACAAUUUUAUCCAAUAUUUUUAUUUUUUAUCAAUUAAACUCAAUCUUUUUAAUAUAUGACUAAAUGCACCCUGUAUAGUUGAAAACUUAUAAAAUUAUAAACAAUCCUUUUAAUAUCUGAUUAAAUACACCCUACCAUUACUUGUAUAAUUAAAAACUUACAAAAUUAUAAAGUUAACAUUUUUUACUAUUAAAUGUAUUUAAAAAUUAUUAUUUAUAUUAUUAUUUAAUUUUUUUAUUUUUAUCAAUAAUUUUAUAAUAAUAAUUUAUCUUAAUUUUAUUUUGACUAAAAUCGUUAUCAAUCGAUUUUUCUUGAAUUUGUCUAAUAUGCUUAAUAUUUUAGCAUUACUUUUAAAAUUAUCAUUAAGAAAAUAAUUUUAUUAAAUAUAUUAGUUAUAAAGAGUUAAAAAAAUUAAAAUAAUAUGUAAAAUGAUUCAAUUUAAAAAUUAUAAAAUAAUUUUUUAUGAUGCUUUUUUUUAAUUACUCUUUUAACUCUAAAGUAUAAUACUAAUCCACUACUUUUUUCUAAAUUAUACUAAUAUUUAGAGUGAAUUUCAAGAAAAUUAAUAAUAUAUAAAUUAAGUAUUUAAUUGUCUAGCCUAACUUGGUUAAGAAACUAAAAAUAUAUAUAAUUCAUCUGAAAUUAUAGAUUUGGUCAUCACUCCUCUGUCUCCUAAAAAUAAUUAUUAAUAACUUUUAGUUUUAUUACGAUUAUACUUUAAACUUUUAAACUAUUAUCAAUUUUACCGUGAAAUUUGCUUAUAAUUAUUAAUAACUUUUAGUUUUAUUAUCGUUAUACUUUAAAUUUUUAAACUAUUAUCAAUUUCAUUGUAAAAUUUGCUGAUGUGGUAUUGACAUAGCGAGUGAUGUGGCAAUUUUGUUAGUUUUUAACUAUACAAAUAAUGAUAGGGUAUAAUUGGAAUAAUUUUAAAAGAUUAGGAUUUAAUUGAGAAAAAAAAGUAUAGGGUGUAAUUACAAUGAAAUCAAAAUUACAAGAUUUUUUUGCCCAUUAACUCUUAAACAUAUUAGUUUUAAACUAAAAAUCAUUAUAUAUAUACAUAAAUUGAACUGCUCAUGAAUUAUUCGAUACUAAACUUGAUAAAAACUCGACUUGUUUAAGUUCUUUGCUAAAUAGGUUAAAUUUGAACUUAUUAAUAUUCAGCUGGAAUUCGAAAUAAGUAAAAAUUGAGUUCCGUUCGACAUCAAAAAAAUUUUAAAAAAUUAAAUUUGAACUUUUCAAAAUUCGGAUCGAUUCGUUCACACCCUAGCAGUAGCUCCUCCAUCCAGUCCUUUCUUGUAAGUCUCAGACAAAGAAAGAUUAGAUGAGGAGAUAAAAAAAUCUUUAUCCAUUACUUGUGGGUUAUUUGUUAUUUAAAUACUAUUUAGUUUUACGAUUACAAUAAAAAUAUUUUUUUAAUUAUAAAUUUUAAAAUAAUUUUUGAUUUAUUGUUUCAAUACACUAUAUUUGUAGUUGAUUGUAUUAUAUUAUACAUUUAACCUAUUGAGUUUUUGAUAUUUACAAUUGUUUUAGAUUAGUGGCAUAAAAAUUACAAAUAGAAAUACAAAUUCAAAGUAUAUUUAUAAAAUUAUAAAUAAAUAUUUUAUUACAUUUGUAAACGGAUUGCGUCCUAUAUAAUUUAGCAAACAAUGAUCAUAAAUAGAUAUGUUUAAAUUAAAAAUGGAAUUAGUCUUUUGUAUGAUUAAUGAAUUUAUAAAUAAAUAAAUUAUUUGAAUUUCAAAUAAAUUUUAGACAUCUAUUUCAAAUAAAUUUCAAAUAAAUUUUAGUCUUUUGUAGGAUUUGAACAAUAUAAAUAAAUAUAAAGGCUGGGGGAGAAAUAAUAGGAUUGCAAAAAAUAUAUAAGAUAAUUUAUUAUUAUGAAAAUAAAUGAAUAAUUUUAUUUAACGUUUAUUCGCUAAUAAAAAUUAAUAUUUCAAUAUAUUUUAUAAAAUUCUAAUAAUGUGAUAUGAAAAUAUAUACAAUAAUUUAAUAUUAGACUAAAAAGGAAUUAGUUUUAUUUAAAUUAAUUAAAUUAAUCAAUACUUUGAAUAAAUUUCAACUUAUAAAAUUAUAGUAAAAAAAUAAGAAUUCUAAUAUAGGAAUAAAACUCCUUAUACAUUAUUUAUAUAGGAAUAAUAUUAAUAAAUUAAACUAAUAUUAUGUUNNNNNNNNNNNNNNNNNNNNNNNNNNNNNNNNNNNNNNNNNNNNNNNNNNNNNNNNNNNNNNNNNNNNNNNNNNNNNNNNNNNNNNNNNNNNNNNNNNNNNNNNNNNNNNNNNNNNNNNNNNNNNNNNNNNNNNNNNNNNNNNNNNNNNNNNNNNNNNNNNNNNNNNNNNNNNNNNNNNNNNNNNNNNNNNNNNNNNNNNNNNNNNNNNNNNNNNNNNNNNNNNNNNNNNNNNNNNNNNNNNNNNNNNNNNNNNNNNNNNNNNNNNNNNNNNNNNNNNNNNNNNNNNNNNNNNNNNNNNNNNNNNNNNNNNNNNNNNNNNNNNNNNNNNNNNNNNNNNNNNNNNNNNNNNNNNNNNNNNNNNNNNNNNNNNNNNNNNNNNNNNNNNNNNNNNNNNNNNNNNNNNNNNNNNNNNNNNNNNNNNNNNNNNNNNNNNNNNNNNNNNNNNNNNNNNNNNNNNNNNNNNNNNNNNNNNNNNNNNNNNNNNNNNNNNNNNNNNNNNNNNNNNNNNNNNNNNNNNNNNNNNNNNNNNNNNNNNNNNNNNNNNNNNNNNNNNNNNNNNNNNNNNNNNNNNNNNNNNNNNNNNNNNNNNNNNNNNNNNNNNNNNNNNNNNNNNNNNNNNNNNNNNNNNNNNNNNNNNNNNNNNNNNNNNNNNNNNNNNNNNNNNNNNNNNNNNNNNNNNNNNNNNNNNNNNNNNNNNNNNNNNNNNNNNNNNNNNNNNNNNNNNNNNNNNNNNNNNNNNNNNNNNNNNNNNNNNNNNNNNNNNNNNNNNNNNNNNNNNNNNNNNNNNNNNNNNNNNNNNNNNNNNNNNNNNNNNNNNNNNNNNNNNNNNNNNNNNNNNNNNNNNNNNNNNNNNNNNNNNNNNNNNNNNNNNNNNNNNNNNNNNNNNNNNNNNNNNNNNNNNNNNNNNNNNNNNNNNNNNNNNNNNNNNNNNNNNNNNNNNNNNNNNNNNNNNNNNNNNNNNNNNNNNNNNNNNNNNNNNNNNNNNNNNNNNNNNNNNNNNNNNNNNNNNNNNNNNNNNNNNNNNNNNNNNNNNNNNNNNNNNNNNNNNNNNNNNNNNNNNNNNNNNUCCUUUUCCGAUUCUCUAUUUCCUUUCCUCAUUCCCAAUCUCCGAUCCAUCCCUAAAAACAACUGACGAGAGAUCGAUGAUGAUGAAGAUGCCUUGGAGGAGGAAGAGCAGGAGCUUCCAUCUUCAGCUACAAGGGGCAAUUGGUACCAUUCAAUCUCCAUUCCUAUUCUUAUUUACCAAUUAUUUCCAUUCUUCUACUUCCACACUUGAAGAUGCACGCUUCUUGACAAAUAAUUUCAAAUCUGCUUCUUUUACCCACCUUGAUGAUGCCAUUGCUUCCUUCAAUCAUGUAAUUCAUAUGAAUCCUCUGCCUUCUAGGGUUCAUUUUAAUAGAUUCUUAUCUGCCCUUGCGAAAAUGAAACAAUAUCAUUUUCUAGUCUUUGCAUUUCAGACCAUUUCAGACCAUUUCAGGGAAGCUUUGGCCUUGUUGAAAGAAAUGGUGGGGAGGAACAUAUCCCCUAAUGUUUUUAC
rnacentral:lncRNA from 1 species